GUUGAAAUACCAGUUCUCAUAUGAACGCUAAAGUUAAGCAAUGUUGAGCCUGGUUAGUACCUAGAUGAGUAUCUGCUUGAGAAUACCAGGUGCAG